AUAGUUCAUCCCCUCAAAAGGAAGUAAAGGUAAGCCUUCUUUUCCCACAGGCAGACACAUACAGAAUGUGCCCAGGAUAUAGAUCCGGGCUCUGUUCUGAAGAUGACUGUACCAAGCUACGUGGCUGGUGGUAAAUGUGUAUUCCAGACAACGACUUGGGGAAAAUGAAGGUCAAAUACAGAAAUACCCCAAAUGUAUUAAUCAGCCAAGAGGGAGAAUACAGGCAUAUCAUUAGCGGCUUAAGAUUUCUAAAAGUUUGCAUAAGAAAAGUAAAGAAUUUUGAGCUGGUAGGGCUUUUUGGUAGACCUCAGUUUGAUUGAAGCAUUUCACCUCCUCCGGGACCCUGCCUGAGGUAAGCCCUCCCCUCUGCUGCAGGGUUUGCUACCCCAGCAUACCCAUAAUACUUCUCUGCUUAUCAUUUUAGCACCUGUGAGCUUUUAAAUUGACCACUGAGGGCUUCCUCUAGCCUGAUGGGGGUGAGGUAGGGGAAAGUAGUGUGUUUGGAGAACAGCAGAGAAAAAUAACACGUUUUUCUUCAUGAGGGAGUCGGCUAGUAGGUGUUGGAUCCAGAACGUAUCGUAAAAUUACAAGUGACUGCAAAUGACAUUUACACCCCGUAAAUCUGACUCGGUUACAGGACUGCAGAUUUUUCCCUGGCACCUGCCUGUCACAGCGUGUAGGUGGUUCCCCAGCCUUCCUGCGCCACGUGUUGGUUUCACCACUGAAGCCCCAGAGUUAUCCUUAUCUGUCUGUGCUGGGGGUGGUCCAGCUGCCAAGUCAGGAGCACCCAACGUGGAGACUGGAGCAGCAGGCCCUGUGAAAUGGAUGCCCAGCCUUCGCGAUGGAUCAUUGCAGGGACCUGGGGCCAUGGUCUCACCUGGUGCUCUUGCCCAUCCCCUAGUCCCACAAGGCAGGGUGGCAGGAGCUGGUAAAUACAGAGCUGUGAACCCAUGGUAAUGGGGGAGCAUGGACACAGGGUGUGAAUGUGUCUAAGUUGUGUUCCUGUGUGACCUGCAGAUGUUUCUGGAAAGUCUGCAGUUUGGAUAAAUAAACCUGACUGCAUUUCCUGUGAGUGCA
rnacentral:lncRNA from 1 species